rnacentral:rRNA from 1 species
AGCGAACGCUGGCGGCAGGCUUAACACAUGCAAGUCGAGCGGGCAUCCUUGUGGUGUCAGCGGCAGACGGGUGAGUAACGCGUGGGAAAGUGCCCUUCGGUUCGGCCUAACUCAGGGAAACUUGAGCUAAUACCGGAUACGUUCGAGAGCAGGAAGGCUUAUUUGCCGAAGGGUCGGCCCGCGUCUGAUUGGCUAGUUGGUGAGGUUACGGCUCUCCAAGGGGAGGUUCAGUAGCUGGUUGGGGAGGAUGAUCAGCCACACUGGGGAUGAGACACGGCCCAGACUCGUACGGGAGGCAGCAGUAGGGAAUAUUGGAGGAGGGGGGCAACCCUGAUCCAGCCAUGCCGGGUAAGUGAUGACGGCCUUAGGGUUGUAAAGCUCUUUUCUCCGAGACGAUAGUGACGGUACCGGAGAAAUAAGCCCCGGCUAACUACGUG